rnacentral:rRNA from 1 species
UACGUAGGGACCAAGCGUUGUUCGGAUUUACUGGGCGUAAAGGGCGCGUAGGCAGCAUGGCAAGUCACUUGUGAAAUCUCCGGGCUUAACUCGGAACGGCCAAGUGAUACUGCCACGCUAGAGUGCAGAAAGGGCAAUCGGAAUUCUUGGUGUAGCGGUGAAAUGCGUAGAUAUCAAGAGGAACACCUGAGGCGAAGGCGGGUUGCUAGGCUGACACUGACGCUGACAGCGCGAAAGCCAGGGGAGCAAACGGG